rnacentral:lncRNA from 1 species
AUGGCCGCUUUUUUUCCCCUAGGGCCGCAGCCACAGCAAAUGGAGAGUCCCUGGCUAGGGGUCGAAUCAGCGCUGUAGCCUCUGGCCUAUGCCACAGCCACAGCAACACAGGAUCUGAGCUGCGUCUGCAACCUACACCACAGCUCACAGCGACACCAGAUCCUUAACCCACUGGAUCCUAGCCAGAUUUGUUUCCGCUGUGCCACGACAGCGGAAACAAAUGACAAUAUUUUUACAUUGAGUCAUAUAAAGCCCCUAAGCCAAGGUCCCUAGUGGCAGGAAGGCAGUCAUUUUCAGCAGAAGGCUUCGCCUAACAGUGGCCAGGCCUGAAAUGCCAGCAGGAGAGGAACAUUCUGGGAGAUGCUGGGGGGCUGAGCUGAGUAGGCAGUUCAUCUGUGGAGGGCAGGUUCCAAUGCCACGCCUUCGGGGGUCUUCUGUGGUCCCUGCAACUCCAUAGGAUGCUUCUGUCCCCUUCACCGCUCGUCCCAUGUCAUCCCACUCUCAUUACUGUCACCACUGGCCUCAUCUCUCUCACCAGGCUGUGAACUCCCCAAGGACAGUGACUUCAGCCAAGUGACACAGAGAAGCUGUCCAGUAAAUAUUCGCUGAAUGCACCAACAGUCCGGCACCCAGCGAGGCGUGGGCGCAUACUUAUUGAAGGGAAUAACAGUAAUUGAACAGAAAGGAUCUUCUGCCUUAGAAUCACGCUCCCCUGGGUUUUGGGCACGAAGCAAGUCCUGGGUGAGUGUGCAUUGCCUCGGCGGAGCGGGCGGAGCCUCCCGGCCUCCCAGCCUGCUGCGUGAUGUUAAGAAUUUCGUAACCUUUCAGAAGAAUGCCAGGAUUUCUCCAUGUAUCAGUAAAGAGGAAAAAAAGGUAGGGAAUGGUUUUCUGGGUCUGGGAGGAUUGACCUGGGAAUUGAGGGGUCGGGGAGAGAGGAGAUGGUACACAGAAGAGCCCCCAGGGAUUCGCAGGUGUCUAGGAGGGCGGGUAGGGGGGCGGGAAGAGUAGGAGCCAAUGGAAAUCUGCGAAAAAGCAGGCUGCGUGGGGGCGCGGGUCAGCCCCAGCAUCUCCGCCCAAUGCCACUCCCCCUCACUGCGCUUCAGCCCUGGCUUCCAGCAGCUGGCGGCGCCCAGAGGGACAUUUGUCCAAAUCCUCCCUCUCUCCCAGAACUGGGCGGGCAGAAUCCCAGGCCAGCCCCGUUUCCCUCUGGGCUCAGGGAGCGCCACGGAGUGCUCACACGACCUGGGACGUGAGAUCACCUAGCCACAUUUUAAGUUCUACAGGUGGGUAAAUGGUUUGGUUUUUUUUUUUUUUUUUUUUUAAUGGCUGCACCCACACCAUAUAGAAGUUUUCAGGCCAGGAUCAAACCCGCUCCUCCGCAGCAACCCAAGCCACUGCAGUUGGAUUCUUAACCCUCUGUGCCACAGCGGGAACUCCCCAGGUGUGUAAAUUUUAAAUAAAGAAGUGAGAGACCAACCUAAAGUUGCCAGCUUUUUAUUUUGCUUGGUAAAGAUUUAAAAAAGAACUAGCAAAACGUUCUAUUUCUUGAUCUGGGUGAUGGUUAUAGAGUGUGAACUUGGUGGAAACAGAUCAAGCUGGACACUUGUGAGCAAGAUGAUUCUAUGUGUUAGACUUUGUAAAAAGUUUAUGCAAAGAAUUACCAUGUACUAUCACACCAUCAUUUCAUCUUUAUGAAUAGACUUUCUUGGCAGUCCCGUCGUGGCUCAGUGCUUAACGAAUCCGACUAGGAACCACGAGGUUGUGAGUUCGAUCCCUGCCCUUGCUCAGUGGGUUAAGGAUCCGGCAUUGCUGUGAGCUGUGGUAGCUGAGAGAGGCUGAGGACCAAGAUGGCAAUCAGUAGCCCCUGCUCCCCUGUUGCCUGAGGGAAGGAUGCCUGGUGCUGGGGUCACAGCCGGCAGGCACCCUGAGUACCUGGAACAGAGCAGUCAGACCUUUACCAGAAAGGGGCGCUGCAGACUGAGGGGACCUUGGUUAGAGACCCCGGCCAGUCUGCCUCUCUGCUAACUUUUGGGAACCUCACCCCACCUUCCGCCAAACUCUCACAUGAAGGCCCAGAGAGAGGAGGCAAUUUCCCCAAAGUCACACAGCACGUUAGUGAAGAAUUGGGGUUAGAACCUGGGUCUCCGGCCUGCAGCCCUGUGCUCUCCCCACCCCUCCUGGCUCUGGGCUCCUGGCAGUCGCCUUUGCUGACCCCAAAAGCGGCUCACAGGUCCUGCGAUGCUGCCGUGAACUCUUCAGGGCUCCGGCUCUGGUGGUCAGAGAUAGGGGAGUGCUGGGCUGCAGGGGAUCGAGUUACCUGCUUGGAGUGGGUCCUCCGGGGAGUCAGCCGCUCUCCAGCUUGGCAGGAAGACGACUUGGCGAGGCUGGGCUCAUCGAAGAUGCCAGGGCUUCUACAAUGGAGGGCUUCAGCCAUCCAGCACCUCCUUAGGGGCUGCUGUCACCAACCUCAACCUGACACCCUGGCUCUGGGCAGAGGAUGGCGGGGGUGGGUACUGGGGGAGGCGGUUCAGAAGGCUCUGCCAGGCAGGGGAGGGAAGGGCGUGGGGGGCUUGGCCUCUGCAAGACGGCUUCUUUUCCUCCUCGAGGGCUUUGCUCAGGCCAUGCCUUUUUCCUGCUGCUCUUUCCUCUUAGACACAAAGCCUCUUUGACUGGGGACCCGAGGCCGGGUCUACUCUCUGGGCCUUCGUCGCCUAACCUGUGAAACAGCCAGUUGUGAGCAUGGGAAUCUCUCUCGGGGUCCUGUCUGCAGACACUGAGCCCCUCUGGUCCGCUCUGUGGCGGGUGGGUUCCCAGAUGAGGAUAUGGAUCCUUGGCAGCCCGGGUGGCAAAUUCCUCCCCCCCAGCGGAGGGGUAGGGACCCUUAAUUUCUCUUCCAUGUGGCAGAGUGCCUCCAAGCAGGAAGAAAACCCAGGUAGCCAUGUGUUCCAGGCACCUGGAAGGUCUCAAAUAAUCUUUGUUGAAUGGAUGAAAGAAUAUUAAGGUUUAGCGUGAGGUUAUUUUUUUAAAAACUUGCCACUGCGUAAAAAUAGAGAAUCAAAGAGCUAGUCCAGCUGCUCUCAUUUGACAGAAGAGGAAAUGGGCCCCCCUUAAACGCCUUUCUUGCCGGAGGCGGCACGGGGAACACGUGGGCCAGCAGGUGUCCUGAGCCCAGCUCUCUGAGCACCGCUUUUCUGACGGGUGAGAGCCCAUCGAGGCUCAGGGCUCGGGACUCCACAAACAGCCACCCCCCUCCACCCUCAACGCUGCAGCUUCCAGGGACACUGACAGAGGGCACCCUGAGCUUCCUGAACGGUCCUGUCAUCCCUUGGGCUGGUUGCUCCAGGCCACCCCCCUUCUUUUGCAUUUCCCCCAACUUCCUCAGCCUCUGCUGUGAGCUGGGUGACUUGAGCAGGUCGCUCAGCUUCUCUGGGUUUGCAUCAUGACAUUGAGAGAAGCCUGACUGCCCCUGCAGGGCGGCUGUGAGGGUCACAAGCUCCAGCAGAGAAGGCGUCUGAUAAAGCCCACAUUUGUAGGACACCGGCACCGCUGCCCUCGACUCUUUGCCAGACAUGUGUGACACACGGGGUCACUGCCUGCACAAAGCAGAGGAGGGCUUAGACAGAGAUUAGAUUCACAGGCAGGGCUCGUCUAGUUAGAAUUCUGGCCCUACCACCGACUCACUAUGUGGCCUUGAGCAAGACACUUAACCUUCCCAGGACUCUCUUUUCUUAUCUGUGAAAUGGAAAUAAUAGUACCUACCUUGCUGGAUUGCUGAGAGGACUAAACACGAGCCCUAUAAACCAGUCUUGGCAUAGGGUAGGUGCCCAGUGAAGGGCAGCCUUCGUGCAUUUCUUUCUCCACAAAGUGCCCAGCGGGCUGGUACUGUGAGCCCCUCUCAACCCCAGGCGCCCCAGUUAGCACGGGCCCCCGGUGCCUAGGAAGCCCUCAGGUCAGGGCUAUGGAAUCCUAUCUGGUCUAACCAGGAGAACCAAAAUAAAGAGGAACGAGGAGGCCCCGAGUUGGGGAGUGUGGAGCAGGGGUGCUGUGCUCGGCGGGCAGCCAGCAGGCCUGGCCCUGAGCCCCCGGCAAUCACCUUUCUAAAUCAGAUCCUUCCCUCCAAGCAAGCGGGCCGGCAGGCCCUGGCGGAGGCCCUGGCCAGGCACAGCAGAACCUUUGUGAGCUCUUGGCUCUCCCCACAGCCCCCCUGCUCACCCUUGUCAUCGCCUGUAAGGAACCCUGGGGCCGGGGCUCCAGGCCGGGGAGCAGCCCCCAGGCUCUGGCUCCCAUCACCUCUAGCAAUCUCUCCCGGCCUGAGCCUGGCCUUCAAGGCCCCAGGGUCUGGUCUCAGCCCCUCCCCCAGUGACAUCGCCCCCAGGACCCCAUCUC